rnacentral:pre_miRNA from 1 species
UUAUUCUCCGCUUUGUAGGCGAACAUGUUUUCUAGUACACGUUUUCAGUUAAAGUUUCGUGACUAGAUUACAUGCUCGUCUAUAAUACUGAGAUCG